GACGAACGCUGGCGGCGUGCCUAAUACAUGCAAGUAGAACGCACAGUUUAUACCGUAGCUUGCUACACCAUAGACUGUGAGUUGCGAACGGGUGAGUAACGCGUAGGUAACCUGCCUGGUAGCGGGGGAUAACUAUUGGAAACGAUAGCUAAUACCGCAUAAUAUUGAUUAUUGCAUGAUAAUUGAUUGAAAGAUGCUAUUGCAUCACUACCAGAUGGACCUGCGUUGUAUUAGCUAGUAGGUGAGGUAACGGCUCACCUAGGCGACGAUACAUAGCCGACCUGAGAAGGUGAUCGGCCACACUGGGACUGAGACACGGCCCAGACUCCUAAGGGAGGCAGCAGUAGGGAAUCUUCGGCAAUGGACGAAAGUCUGACCGAGCAACGCCGCGUGAGUGAAGAAGGUUUUCGGAUCGUAAAGCUCUGUUGUAAGAGAAGAACGGGUGUGAGAGUGGAAAGUUCACACUGUGACGGUAUCUUACCAGAAAGGGACGGCUAACUACGUG
rnacentral:rRNA from 1 species